ensembl:lncRNA
UGGCAGGGACGACAUUCAAUCAGAACUGUUUUAGUUUUGUGAAAGGUAGGGACCAGUUAGGAAGAGAUCCAAUCACUACUACUUUAGCGGAGGUGGAGAGGCGGGACCUACGGGGUAGUCAUCCAAUCAGUACCUGUCUCUUUUGCUGUAGUGCGGCCGCAAUCGAAUACAAAACAAGACCAUCGUUACUUAUGGGGCUCGACUGGAAGUUAACUCGACAGUGUCGGCAGAGAGAAAGAGGAGAGAUCAUAUAUUUCUCCUUUAACGUCUCAAAAAACAAGACAGCGUGUAAAAACCAUGUGGAGCGACUCCAUCUCCGGAACCCCUCAGCACCAAUGACUGGAACUGCAUUAUGAAUGAUUUUAGAUUUUUGAAUGAGAUCUCUGCAGCCCUCUCCACUCUGAAGAUUGCCAUUGGAUUCAUGAAGCUUUCCUUUCCUAAUCCAAACCAGUACCUCACAAACUACUUGAAAAGGGACCUGAAACUUGAUGACAGAGUGCACAUAUUGAGUCGACCAGUAUAAUGAUAUUUUGCUUUUUACUACAAUUGAGUGUUGAUAUAUGGUUAGAUCUUCUCACAAAUGAAACAAUAAAACAUCUUUUAUAUUUCCAGGUGCCGAGAAGCAGUAGAGUGAAGCACAUCCAGUCUCUGUGGGAGGUUUUGUCUUUGAGACAGUCAUCUUUACUCAUUGAGAUGAAUCAGAAUCCAUUUUUCAUGAUUGAUGACCAGGAAUUUCAUGUCCACUUCUCAGAAGAAGAGAAGAAAAAAUAUAUGAAAAUUCUGGCAGGUUUCUCCAACAUUAACGUUCUCAUCACAGAGCUCCACUAUGUGAUCAUGAACAUCAGGUUCAAGGAUAUCAGUCCAGACUGGGGAAUUAUGGAAACCUUUGAAGCCUUCGAUGACAAAAAUGAGAUUGAUGUUAAGGCUGUGGAGUGUCUGGAGCCUCUUCGAGACUUGGAGAUGAGAUAUGGAAUCGCUCUGUGGAAACUCGCCGUACAGAUGAAGAAGGGCAUCAGGGGCACUAGAUAAAGUGAUUCAGGACACAAACAUGUCCAAGAGCAUCCAAGGUCUCCUAACUAUCCUUACAUAUAUAGUAUACUCUAAAUAAUCUCACCAAAUGUACUGCAAUUACUCAAAAACACUAUGUUAUCUAAAAAUGAAUCAUUUUGUGAUCUUUAACUAAUUGUGCUUCAUUUACUUUCUAAAAAUCUUGUUCUGUGUCUUUUAAGCGCUGUUUUUUGAUGUACAUGAACAGUUAUGCCUGGAUUUUGCUGUCAGCAUUUAAUGGCCACGUUUCUAGAGAAAUAUCCAAGUCCGGUUUAUUCCGUAUUCAGAAUUAACAGUUGUCUGUCACUGUCAUAAUAUAAAUGCAGCACCAAUAUUAGCUUUUUCUGGCAGCGUUAUGUAUAAUUUUACUGUGGUGAUUUGGGUAUUUUUGUUUUUUCUCUAUUUACCUUGUUUAUAAUUUAGCUUGUAAAAGUAAUUUUUCUGAACAAUUAUUAAAGGCUAUGUUUAAAAUUAUACAAAAAGUUGUAGAUUUAAACUAAUUUUAUAUAGUAAUUGUUUUGCCCACCACAUGCAAGAAGAAUUCAUGAGUUUCAUCACAUUAUGCAAACAUUUUCUUUUUUGUUUAUUUUUCAUUGAAAUAUGAGGUUAAUUUACAUUCUGCAUGGUGUAUUGAUGUAUUUAUGUAAACAAAGUCAAAUAUUCUUAGGAAUGUCCUCAAACAGUAUGUCGGCAUAUUCAUAACCAUUUAGUGUAAUGACUUUCUGUAAGGGCAAAAAAAAAAAACAUAUUAACUAAGGGUAAAAGGGUUUGAUUAUUUUGAUGAUCUACAAGCAAAUAAAUACUUCAUAAAUCAAAU